UAUAGAUGGAUCCGCGCUGCAUUAGCUAGUUGGUAAGGUAACGGCUUACCAAGGCAACGAUGCAUAGCCGACCUGAGAGGGUGAUCGGCCACACUGGAACUGAGACACGGUCCAGACUCCUACGGGAGGCAGCAGUAGGGAAUCUUCCGCAAUGGGCGAAAGCCUGACGGAGCAACGCCGCGUGAGUGAUGAAGGUCUUCGGAUCGUAAAACUCUGUUAUUAGGGAAGAACAUAUGUGUAAGUAACUGUGCACAUCUUGACGGUACCUAAUCAGAAAGCCACGGCUAACUACGUGCCAGCAGCCGCGGUAAUACGUAGGUGGCAAGCGUUAUCCGGAAUUAUUGGGCGUAAAGCGCGCGUAGGCGGUUUUUUAAGUCUGAUGUGAAAGCCCACGGCUCAACCGUGGAGGGUCAUUGGAAACUGGAAAACUUGAGUGCAGAAGAGGAAAGUGGAAUUCCAUGUGUAGCGGUGAAAUGCGCAGAGAUAUGGAGGAACACCAGUGGCGAAGGCGACUUUCUGGUCUGUAACUGACGCUGAUGUGCGAAAGCGUGGGGAUCAAACAGGAUUAGAUACCCUGGUAGUCCACGCCGUAAACGAUGAGUGCUAAGUGUUAGGGGGUUUCCGCCCCUUAGUGCUGCAGCUAACGC
rnacentral:rRNA from 1 species